CCCCAGUAACGGCGAGUGAAGCGGCAAAAGCUCAAAUUUGAAAUCCUGCGGGAAUUGUAAUUUGAAGGUUUCGUGGUCUGAGUCGGCCGCGCCCAAGUCCAUUGGAACAUGGCGCCUGGGAGGGUGAGAGCCCCGUAUGGCGCACGCCGACUCUUUGUACACCGCGGCUCCGACGAGUCGAGUUGUUUGGGAAUGCAGCUCUAAGUGGGUGGUAAAUUCCAUCUAAAGCUAAAUAUUGGCGAGAGACCGAUAGCGAACAAGUACAGUGAUGGAAAGAUGAAAAGCACUUUGAAAAGAGAGUGAAACAGCACGUGAAAUUGUUGAAAGGGAAGGGCUUGCAAGCAGACACGGUUUUACCGGGCCAGCGUCGAAAAGGGGGGAGGAACAAGAACUCGAGAAUGUGGCGCGCACCUUCGGGCGCGCGUGUUAUAGCUCGUGUUGACGCCUCCAUCCCUUUUCGAGGCCUGCGAUUCUAGGACGCUGGCGUAAUGGUUGCAAGCCGCCCGUCUUGAAACACGGAC
rnacentral:rRNA from 1 species